rnacentral:sRNA from 1 species
GAAGCUAGACACGCUUUCCCGGGGAGGCACGCCCCUACGCAGAGAUAGACACGCCCCCAAGCACAAUGGCACGCCCCCUAUAGAGCGAGACACACCCCCGAGUCAAACUGCACUUGACUGUUAGGACGCUAGGAGCUCCCAUGCCUCGAAGUUGUAGUGGGCUCCAGCAGUUAGCUACUAUCUUUUGUUAGGGCUGAGGCAACACCGGUUAGGACUUGGGCAGCUUCACCACAGAACAGACUUUCUCAAGUUGACAUAUUUUAUUCUCAUGAAGUCCACCUUUUUUCAUUCACAUGGAAAAAGAGUGAUUAUGAAGUCAUGCUGUAAACUGUAACCUUUCUCAUUUACUUGGAUAUAAGAGUGUUCAACUCACUUAGCAAAGACGGUGCUACCUGAAUUGGAGGCUGGUGUCUUCUGACUCCUUCAACUCCCUUUGAGAUGUGGGAGUGAUGGUUGCAGCACAUCCUGCUUACUGAUGAUGAGAGCUACACACAGGAGGAAGUGGAACGGCGCCUUGGAAACAGUCACUACUGUGGUCAGUGCCUCCUGAGGACUGCACUAAACCACAGAAGAGGGUAAUAGAAGCUGCAUGCUGUUUAAAGUUCUGUUUGUGCCUCUGAAACUAGUCAUGACCACUGUGAGGUUUUUAUUUGGUUAGCUGUCUUUAGAGUAGCACGUAUAACCCCUUGAUAAAAUGUUUAAAGAAAACAGCAGUCUCUCUCACCACUGUCAGUCCUCUCUUUUCUGCUACUGAAAAAAAUCAAUGUGAGCCGAUGAACGGACGCCAAUACAGUUUAAAUAUGUGACCUAUA